GGAAGAUACUGUACAUGACACAUGCGAGAAGCUCUGGUUACCAACAGCACAAACAAUGCCUGAUUCAGGGGCUCAGGUGAAGAAAACAAUACCAGAGAGGUUACAUAAUUUGGCCACUGUCACUCAGCUUGCAGACGCAGCUGCUAGAACCUUGAGGAGACGAUCGUCAAGACUUAUAAGUCAAUGAGUUGAGGUUGACUUCAAAUGGAAAUAGGGGAACUUACAAUGGACUUCUCAGAAGAAGGGCAUGUGGGAUCUUCCUGGAGCAGGGAUCAAACCCGUGUCCUCUGCAUUGGCAGGCGGAUUCUUAACCACUGCACCACCUAGGAAGACCAAUGUGUCCUGUCUUUUACUGUAAAAUGCUUUGCUUCCGCUCACCCCCCUUAAAUUGUAUCAACUGGAUUUAUGUAAUUUGGGACUCACCUGGUUGACUGAGUCUGCUCCUAGGGCAAGAUCUUAGUGAAAGUCUUGCUGCCAAAAGGGCAAAUAAAGCCAAUCUGGAGCCAUCGUUACAUCUCCAGGGUAUCAUUUGUCAAAAGAUGCUGAGACCUCUUGGGAGGAUGACCUCCAAGGUUGAAUUGGGGUCAAGGUUUGCUCUUCCCUUUCUCCCUGAUAAUGUGCCUGUCAGCUCUCAGGAGAUGUGUACUGCUAUGAUAUUGAGAUGAGAAUGGGAGGCUGAUACCAUCUUAGAAUUUAUGUAAGCUUCGGUCAAAUGAACCCCUUUGAACGAGGUGAGAGACAGCCAAAGCCCGCUGCCGUGGGAUGGGAUGCAUCCAAGGCGAGUGAAGGCUCUGUUUUUUAUGAGCCAGAUGGGUCUCUCUCCUCCAUCUUAUCCUGGAAAUGCAAGGAUCAGAGCCUCUCCAAGUAGGGGCUGGUAAAAGGAUCAGUUAAUGUUUUCCCCAAGGUUCUUUAUAGAAGUUUUUUACUUGCCCUGCUAGAGGUCAUUCCAGUUCUGUUUAUGAAAUAGUUGCUAGUUAAGAACGUGGCUGUCAUCCAUCCUCUAUGUUGGGCCAGUUUUGUGGUAGGAAUCCUGUUUUUCUGGAGAUGUCAGGGCUAUAAACUGGUUCCUGGGAUGAUGGCUCAUGUAUCCUACCAAUCUAGCACUGUAUUUUAUGCCAUUUUGUGUGAUUCCCUCCACAAGAUUGGGCAUUCCUUGAGCCCAAAUAGUGCAGUUUAUAUUUUCCUUAAUUCCCUGUCUGGUACACAGCCUAAACACACUGUACCUAUGAAGAAGCAACUUGAUUUGAGUUAUUAAAGGCUUAAAUUCAGCAGAAACAUACAUUAAUAGCAAAAUAUUUAUGUAUUGUAUAUAGAGUAAAAAUUUAUGGUAAAAAUAGUGUUACUUAUUCAAGUCAGCAAUGAGAACUGGAAACUUUUUUUAGAAAAAAUAAUCUUGGUAAAAGACUUUGACUUAAAUGUCCAAAAGUUUUCAAUAACACCCAUUUAAAAAGUGAUAGAAAAUGUUGCAGAAGGUGAUAAGUCAGCUUGGAAGUUGCCAACUUUGUGUUCAUGCAUGUAAAGAAGCCGGACAACACUUCUGAAAACUUAGAACCAAAGAAAGGUUGAGCCAUGUGACAGAUGUUGAACACAUCCCCAAGAGUAGAUGGUUUAUCAUCCUUGCGUGUGUCAUGAGGGUAGUUUAGGCGAACAUGUCAAGUAUGUGCGCAGAUAAGGGGAAAGCACAUUUUGAGAAUGCCUUCCCUGAACUAGAGCACCGCAGUUCUGAUGUGACCAAGAGCCACCACGUGGCAUCCUUCCAAAGGGGUUUUCACAUACCUGAGGUCUGACAUCCCCCCGGGGCGCUUGCAGCCUGAGUGCACCUGGAAAUUAAAGGAAGCCUCUGGCGCCCAAGCAUUUUCUUUUUAAAUUUGAACAAUGUGAGGGACGUACG